rnacentral:rRNA from 1 species
GACGAACGCUGGCGGCGUGCUUAACACAUGCAAGUCGAACGGAAAGGCCCUGCUUUUGUGGGGUGCUCGAGUGGCGAACGGGUGAGUAACACGUGAGUAACCUGCCCUUGACUUUGGGAUAACUUCAGGAAACUGGGGCUAAUACCGGAUAGGAGCUCCUGCUGCAUGGUGGGGGUUGGAAAGUUUCGGCGGUUGGGGAUGGACUCGCGGGUUAUCAGCUUGUUGGUGGGGUAGUGGCUUACCAAGGCUUUGACGGGUAGCCGGCCUGAGAGGGUGACCGGCCACAUUGGGACUGAGAUACGGCCCAGACUGCUACGGGAGGCAGCAGUGGGGAAUAUUGCACAAUGGGCGGAAGCCUGAUGCAGAAACGCCGCGUGCGGGAUGACGGCCUUCGGGUUGUAAACCGCUUUCGCCUGUGACGAAGCGUGAGUGACGGUAAUGGGUAAAGAAGCACCGGCUAAAUACGUG